GAUGAACGCUGGCGGCGUGCCUAAUACAUGCAAGUCGAGCGAACGGACGAGAAGCUUGCUUCUCUGAUGUUAGCGGCGGACGGGUGAGUAACACGUGGAUAACCUACCUAUAAGACUGGGAUAACUUCGGGAAACCGUAGCUAAUACCGGAUAAUAUUUUGAACCGCAUGGUUCAAAAGUGAAAGACGGUCUUGCUGUCACUUAUAGAUGGAUCCGCGCUGCAUUAGCUAGUUGGUAAGGUAACGGCUUACCAAGGCAACGAUGCAUAGCCGACCUGAGAGGGUGAUCGGCCACACUGGAACUGAGACACGGUCCAGACUCCUACGGGAGGCAGCAGUAGGGAAUCUUCCGCAAUGGUCGAAAGCCUGACGGAGCAACGCCGCGUGAGUGAUGAAGGUCUUCGGAUCGUAAAACUCUGUUAUUAGGGAAGAACAUAUGUGUAAGUAACUGUGUACAUCUUGACGGUACCUAAUCAGAAAGCCACGGCUAACUACGUG
rnacentral:rRNA from 1 species